rnacentral:rRNA from 1 species
UCGGAAUUACUGGGCGUAAAGCGUGCGCAGGCGGUUCGUUAAGUCAGAUGUGAAAGCCCCGGGCUCAACCUGGGAACUGCAUUUGAAACUGGCGGGCUUGAGUAUGGCAGAGGGGGGUGGAAUUCCGCGUGUAGCAGUGAAAUGCGUAGAGAUGCGGAGGAACACCGAUGGCGAAGGCAGCCCCCUGGGCCAAUACUGACGCUCAGGCACGAAAGCGUGGGGAGCAAACAGG